UGGGGAAUAUUGCACAAUGGGCGCAAGCCUGAUGCAGCCAUGCCGCGUGUAUGAAGAAGGCCUUCGGGUUGUAAAGUACUUUCAGCGGGGAGGAAGGGAGUAAAGUUAAUACCUUUGCUCAUUGACGUUACCCGCAGAAGAAGCACCGGCUAACUCCGUGCCAGCAGCCGCGGUAAUACGGAGGGUGCAAGCGUUAAUCGGAAUUACUGGGCGUAAAGCGCACGCAGGCGGUUUGUUAAGUCAGAUGUGAAAUCCCCGGGCUCAACCUGGGAACUGCAUCUGAUACUGGCAAGCUUGAGUCUCGUAGAGGGGGGUAGAAUUCCAGGUGUAGCGGUGAAAUGCAUAGAGAUCUGGAGGAAUACCGGUGGCGAAGGCGGCCCCCUGGACGAAGACUGACGCUCAGGUGCGAAAGCGUGGGGAGCAAACAGG
rnacentral:rRNA from 1 species